rnacentral:rRNA from 1 species
AUUGAACGCUGGCGGCAUGCUUUACACAUGCAAGUCGAACGGCAGCACGGGUACUUGCACCUGGUGGCGAGUGGCGAACGGGUGAGUAAUGCAUCGGAACGUGCCCAUGAGUGGGGGAUAGCCCGGCGAAAGCCGGAUUAAUACCGCAUACGCCCUUAGGGGGAAAGCGGGGGAUCUUCGGACCUCGCGCUAUUGGAGCGGCCGAUGUCGGAUUAGCUAGUAGGUGAGGUAAAGGCUCACCUAGGCGACGAUCCGUAGCUGGUCUGAGAGGAUGAUCAGCCACACUGGGACUGAGACACGGCCCAGACUCCUACGGGAGGCAGCAGUGGGGAAUUUUGGACAAUGGGCGCAAGCCUGAUCCAGCCAUGCCGCGUGAGUGAAGAAGGCC